CAUAUUUUUCAAGCCUUCUUUCUGAAUUUAUGGUUCGAAAAAUUCGCUUUUUUUAAGCGACGACGAAUGAUUUAAACGAAGAGGAAACAGCGGGCAUAACUGAAUAACAUUCAGGUAAGCAUAUUGUUAUGUUAUAUGUAUAAUGGAGCAGUUUUGAAAGUAAAUAUUCGCUAUCUUCAUUCAUGAAUUUUGAGCAUGUGUUCAUGUUUAAAAUUUGAAUUUGCCGCGACAAUAUUUGAAUUAAAAAGAUGAUAUAUUAGUUUUAUAGAAGGCUUACAUUUGACUUUAUAUUAAAUUAUGUUUAUUGUAUAAAGGGCAACUAAUAUUUGUGUAUAUGAAUAUAUGACAGACUACCAGAUAACAAUGUUUCUGGUAUAAAGUAUAAAUAUAGCUUGGCAUCUACUCAAUCAUCAUAUGCUCAACUACACAUGUCCCAGCUAAACAUGGUUUGAGAAAAUAUAACCACUUGUUUCAAAUCAACUGCUACUUUCAUAAGUUUCUAAUUUUUAUAUAUCUAGGUUUUUUAUGUCCAAAUUCUUCAAUCAAUGAAAAAAUCUAUUUCACUGUUAGAGGUGUUAUGCACCAGUCAAUGAAAACCUAUACAACUCAGCCCCCCCACCCCACCCCCCGAAUAUAAGCCCAGUAGCCCACUACGUUAUUCAACAUUGACAUUGUCUUUUAAUUAACCCAUUAAGCUGCGGAACUUCCCCAUUGACAAGUAAAAUUGUCUGGCAUAAGACAAGUAAAAAAAUAAGUAAGGCACACUGGGGCGCAUUGCGGCUUGAUGGGUUUACCAGAGACAUUGUCAAAUUUUUUGGUCAACCCAUUAAGCUGCAGAGUUUCCCCAUUGACAAGUAAAAUUUGGCGUUAGACAAGUGAAAAAAAAGUAGAGCACGCUGGGGCGCAUUGUGGCUCAAUGGGUUAAUAUAUCAGAGAACAAUAUUUAAAAACAUUGUCUUUAUAGCUUAAGUCAACGACAAAACGUCGUUAAUUAAUCAAAGUGCAUUAUUACUAUGUGUUUAUUUUCCUGUUUAUGACUGACUUGUUUAUUAUACUAACACAAAAGAUUGAAUGUCCAUGUAUAAGCUCUAUCCCUCCUAUAUACUGUAACCCCCCCCCCUUUGUAUAAGCCCACCAAAUAUAUAGCCCAGGGUUUAUAGUCCGAGAUUUACGGUAUUCCAUGAACCCAUUAAGAUGUGAUGUUGUGAUGGAUUAACAGACUGUGUGUGCAUGUCUCAACUACCAUUAGCACUUACAUACCCUAAUUUAACCCAUUAAGCUGCAGAGCUUCCCCGCGUUUUCCCCGUUUCCUAGGAUACGAGGCCUCAUCACGAUUUAUGAAUAAGGUCUAUAGUACUCUGAUUUUCCAUUUAACAUACGAGCCUCUAGUUCUGGGAUAGGGUACAUUUUGAUUUACGUUGGACAAAGCUACAGUUCGGUCGGACACAAAUACACUCAGGUCGGACAAACAAUAAACCUCAAUUUCACUUUGGUCGGACAGAAUGUCUGGUGGUUUCCUCUCUACGUCAGACAAUUUCACUAAUGGGUCGGACAAUGUCCAUGACCGACCGAUAUUUUAAGGCCUGCAUAGCCGGAUUAACCCUAACCCGUAGUUAAAAUUUAUGUAUUUCUACGUACAGUAUCUUUUUGUUUUAAAAUUAUGAAAAGAAAACUUCUAUGGUACUGAUCCAGACAAGAUGUCUAAAGAAAUAUUUCCAAAUUUAUAAACAAACUGUUAGGAAGUUUGCUUUUAAAAUCUAAGGUUAACUUAUCGGCUUUUGAACAAUCAACCCCUGCAUAGGGGUGCACCAGAACCAGUUUUUUAAGUUCCGGCCGGAACCGGAUCUGACCGGAACUGGAAAAAAGUUCCGGCCGGAACCGGAACUAAUUUAUUAAACCAUAUAUAGUCAUAUUUUACUUUGUCCGCUGCCAGACAGGCAGACACUUCAAGUCAUAAAGGAGAGAGCUCGCAAAUGUUAGAAUAAAAAGAUUGACAAGCGUUAAACGUCAUAAUGAAGUGUUAGUAGUGUACAUUUCCCUUGCGUAGUCCAAAUUUCUUCCUACUGUGACCUUUUGUUAGACACAAAAACGUUUGAUAUUCUAUCUCUCUGAAAACCACAGAGUUGUGGUUCCGGCCAUGCUUUUUUUACUAGUUCCGGCCGGAACCGGAACUCUAAAAAAUCGGGUUCCGGCCGGAACUGACCGGCCGGAACCGAGUUCCGGUGCACCCCUACCCCUGCAUGGUGAUUUUGUUUGUCAAUGGGGAGUGUGUUGGACUUAAAAGGUUUUAACCUUUCAUUGAAACUAGAUUGUCUGCCCGCAUUUUGUGUUAACACAUUAUUAAGAUAAAAGCCAGACUGCUUUCAGUACUUCAUGAUUUUACUAUCAUCACAUUUCAUAUUUAACCCUUUUAGAUGCAAAGGACAUUUUAGUCAUCCAGAGGGGGAGGGAGUCUAAGAGUAGAAUCUUCUGAGACUGAUAAUAGUAAGAUGUACUAAGACAUCAAUGGAAUGGGGGGGGGGGUUAAAUUCCAAGUUUCUUUGUAUGUCAUGCUUGAAGUUUUCAAGGAUGGAUAGAUCGGCUUAGAUAAAAAUGUCAAUUUGAUGUUUUGUGUGGCAACUUGAAUAUGGACAUCUCCCUAAUUGGAAACAGUUAAAGUCCUUAGUUUGUUUGUUUGUUCAAACUGAUGAAUACAUUUAGCUAGCUACACCACCCACAUGAUCUGCUUAGUAAUAUAUGUAAUGUAACAACCCAAUUCACUCCAAUUAACCCAGUUUUCAGCACUUUCUUAAAUUAUGUCACCUUUCCUAAUGCCGGACAAAUUAAUUUGUGUGUAGCUAGAUUUUACCCAUGUUUCAUGUUGACAUAUUUAGAUGCAAUUUUCCCUAACACUCCCUACUUUAAGUACUUUAAUAUUGAACUGUGACGUCUUAUGCUAGACAAUUUUACUUAUCGACUGCAUGGACUCAUUUCACCUAUUAACACAGAAGAAACAAUUUCCUCUUAAAUGUUGCCUAUUUUCGGUUCUUUCUAGGGGUGUGCAGGACAGAGUAUUUCUGCUAUCCAGCUAGAUACACUAUGCUGGAUGGCUGAAAAAUAUCCAGCCCGAUUAAGGGUAUUAUUCAAAUAAUUAUAUAAGGUUCAGGCAUCAUUUAAGGUUAAGUACUGGUAAUAAUUUUAUUUGGUUAAAAAGUAAACGGUCUAAAACUAGUAAACCUGCAUCAUUGGUAGCAAACAUGCAUCAUUGGUAGUAAUUAAAAGACUUGUUUACAUCAGUUAAAAGUUCAAAUCCCCAUUUACUGUACAAACAAGCAUUGAAAAUACUGAUCAUAUUUAUCAUAUUUUUACUUCAAUGAUCAUGAUAUGAUAACCUUAUCAAAUCAUUUUCUAACCUGAAAAGAAGGCCUGAACCCUAUAUGAAUAAUAUCCGGCAUUGGGUAGCCGAAUACCAGAUAAUGAAUUAAAAUCUUAAUAUCCGGCCAGAUACAGUAUCAGUCCAUUGCAUCCUAUGUCUUGAAAUGCCAAACAAAUUAACUUGUUAAAUGACUGUAUAUUGAUAUUCAAUAUACUUAGCUAAUAUAUGCACCCUUUUAUUGUUAACCCUUUGAGCAGCAAUGUGCCCAAGUGCACCCUACUUUGUUAUGUUGCACUUAACUAACACCAGACAUUUUACUUUGUGAAAUGCCAGACAAUUUUACUCCUCAAGAGCAGUGUCCUGCUCACUAAUGGUUAUCCAAACUAUCUGCCAAUGUGCCUUGAUAACCCAUUAGGCCGAAAUGCACCCAAAUGGACCCGCCUUUGUUAUUUUACUCUGUCAAACGCCAGACAAUUUUAGUCAUCAAGAAGAGAGUCCUGCGUGCUAGUGGGUUAAAUGACUUAAUUACAUAUGUUAUAUAUAAACUUAAGCUGUUAGAUUGUCCCAUUGUAUAUUAAUUUUUUACUUAUCUUGACACAGGCUUGUAUGUUGGAUUGAUACGACUACCUGUAAAUAUGGUUAAACUUGGCUAUGUGAUUCAAAGGUUGUGGUUCACCGAGCGAUAAAGAAAAUGAUACAAAGAUGGAAUGAUUGGAUGCAAGUUAUUUACAGUGUUUCAUAUGACAGGUAUUCUGAUUGUGGAAGAUGUGGGCUUGCAAUAUUUUGACAAUUGCAUGGCUAUAAAGUACGAGACAAUUAAUAUAGUACUCCAUUACUCUAAUUGCCAGAACACUGCAUCAGAAUGAGAAGUUGUCUGUUACAGUUCGGUUUAGUAAAAGUACAUAGUAAAAGUACAUAGUCAACUAUGUAAAAUGUAAUUUAGUCAGUGUCAAAUAAAUAUUUUGUCAUGGAUAAACUCUGUGCAAAUGAGCAUGUCUCUA
rnacentral:lncRNA from 1 species